rnacentral:rRNA from 1 species
GACGAACGCUGGCGGCGUGCCUAAUACAUGCAAGUAGAACGCUGAAGGAGGAGCUUGCUUCUCUGGAUGAGUUGCGAACGGGUGAGUAACGCGUAGGUAACCUGCCUGGUAGCGGGGGAUAACUAUUGGAAACGAUAGCUAAUACCGCAUAAGAGUAGAUGUUGCAUGACAUUUGCUUAAAAGGUGCAAAUGCAUCACUACCAGAUGGACCUGCGUUGUAUUAGCUAGUUGGUGGGGUAACGGCUCACCAAGGCGACGAUACAUAGCCGACCUGAGAGGGCGAUCGGCCACACUGGGACUGAGACACGGCCCAGACUCCUACGGGAGGCAGCAGUAGGGAAUCUUCGGCAAUGGACGGAAGUCUGACCGAGCAACGCCGCGUGAGUGAAGAAGGUUUUCGGAUCGUAAAGCUCUGUUGUAAGAGAAGAACGAGUGUGAGAGUGGAAAGUUCACACUGUGACGGUAUCUUACCAGAAAGGGACGGCUAACUACGUGCCAGCAGCCGCGGUAAUACGUAGGUCCCGAGCGUUGUCCGGAUUUAUUGGGCGUAAAGCGAGCGCAGGCGGUUAGAUAAGUCUGAAGUUAAAGGCUGUGGCUUAACCAUAGUAGGCUUUGGAAACUGUUUAACUUGAGUGCAAGAGGGGAGAGUGGAAUUCCAUGUGUAGCGGUGAAAUGCGUAGAUAUAUGGAGGAACACCGGUGGCGAAAGCGGCUCUCUGGCUUGUAACUGACGCUGAGGCUCGAAAGCGUGGGGAGCAAACAGG